rnacentral:lncRNA from 1 species
AUUCCUCGAAGAGUCUAUUACCUAGUAACUGGUAGUAUUCUUGUUAGUUUGCAGUUUGUUACUUUUGUCCAAUACCCGACAAGAACAACCUUUGUUUCCCCAGUGGAUUCGUUUUCAUGUUUUCUUCGAGUCUAUCCUUGAUAAGUUCACUUUAACCCGUGACAAAUAUUCUCUCUCUUUGGUUUUCUACCCAGUAAAAAGGUA